CCUACGGGGAGCAGCAGUGGGGGAUAUUGCACAAUGGGGGAAACCCUGAUGCAGCGACGCCGCGUGUGGGAAGACGGUCCUAUUGAUUGUAAACCACUGUCCCCAGGGACGAAGAUGACGGUACCUGGGGAGGAAGCUCCGGCUAACUACGUGCCAGCAGCCGCGGUAAUACGUAGGGAGCGAGCGUUGUUCGGAAUGACUGGGUGUAAAGGGAGCGUAGGCGGGGAUGCAAGUUGGGUGUCAAAACUACCGGCUCAACUGGUAGGCGCACUCAAAACUGCAGCUCUUGAGUGAAGUAGAGGCAGGCGGAAGUCCUAGUGUAGCGGUGAAAUGCGUAGAUAUUAGGAGGAACACCAGUGGCGAAGGCGGCCUGCUGGGCUUUUACUGACGCGGAGGCUCGAAAGUGUGGGGAGCAAACAGGAUUAGAUACCCGUGUAGUC
rnacentral:rRNA from 1 species